rnacentral:lncRNA from 1 species
UGUAAGCCCUAAAAAGCCUGAAACAGUUCUUGUCAGACUCAUAGAUUUCCCCCCCCCCACCUGACAAACAGUGACAUGGAUCAGUACAUAGAAUACCACGCUAGCAUUUGUCAGAUGAAACUAAGAAUACCUCUUUUAUUAGAUGAAGACGUCCCAGGAAUAAAAGGUUUUAGUUAGGUUGGUGUAAUGGUUACAGUGAUGGGCUGGGACUUGGGAGGCCGAGGUUCAAACUGACUGUUAGGCGUGAAACAACUUGGAUGAUUGUGACUAAAUACAGUGGUACCUCAGGUUACAUACGCUUCAGGUUACAUACGCUUCAGGUUACAGAUUCUGCUAACACAGAAAUAGUGCUUCAGGUUAAGAACUUUGCUUCAGGAUGAGAACAGAAAUCGUGCUCCGGCAGCAGGGCGGCAGCAGGAGGCCCCAUUAGCUAAAGUGGUGCUUCAGGUUAAGAACAGUUUCAGGUUAAGAACGGACCUCUGGAACGAAUUAAGUACUUAACCUGAGGUACCACUGUAUUAACAACAGAUGAGAAGAAUGGAGUCUAUUGGGGAAACGUAAAAUAGAUGGAAGCAGUAUAGAAACAAUAUAUUUAAAAGUUAUGAAGAUUACUGAAAUAAGAAGAAAAAAUAUUUAAGAAAAAAGAAAACACAGAUUGAUUGAAUCAUGUUAAGCUUGAGGAAAUAAAAGAGACUUGGAAAAUGAUAGAACUCCCAUAUGACUGGUGGCUUUUGAUCUGGUCUGUGAUUGGUUCAGUUUGUGGGUGAAAGGCCUGACUGGACACUGAGUGAGGUUCUUAAAUCAAUUUGGCAGUUAGAAGCAAUCUAAGUGGCUCUAUAAAUCAAACUGCACCCCAGCAAAAUUGCUGCCAAGAAUAUUGGAGUUCUAUAGUAGCCUGAACCAGUAAGAAUGGAAUGUUUUCAAUUUCUGCUCCCUCCUGCUUAAUUUUAUCUAAUCUGUAUUUUCUUUACAUGAAUUUUAAUAUUGAUUAUUUAAUUAUCUAAAUAUAUAUUUUUAUUCUGUUUUUCAGCCAAAAGAGGCUUCCACAGCAACUAAUAGAUCAAUACAAACAAGACAGAACCUGCCUUCAGUCUUAGAAUCUGGAGAAACACAGCACAGAAGGAUAAUGGAUCUAAUGUUUGUCUAGGGAUGAAGAAAAUUUUUGAUUCAGCUUUCAUUUAAAGGUCACACCUAAGUCACACUUCGCAAAAUAAUAUGCAAACCAAAACACAAGUAUCCUUCAAUAUUCACACCUCUCUGAAUUUUGCAGUGUAGUUUUCUAGUCAAGUAAUAUGUUAAAAAAAAUGUGUAUACAUCAGAUAAAAAUGAGAGGAAGGAGAAGGGAUGGGGAAGAAAUUAAUUUCAGGUUGCAUUUAAAGACAAACCUGCCAAAUCUAUGUUUUCUGAAACAAAUAUGCAAACGAAAAUGCAAAAAUCCUUUGAAAUUCACACCUCUCUGAAUUUUGCAAUGCAGUUCUCUAGCCAAGCAGUGUGUACAAAAAUAAAUGUGAUGCAUAAAUUAGUGAAUAUAGCACAGAUAAAUCCAUUAAAUUAUGGAAAACUGUUUUCCAAAACUGUGUACAUUAGAAGAAACCCACACUAAAAUGCAGAUACAUUUUCAUGAGGAAUAGUUUUUUUGAAAAUUGCCAGCUGAUGUGGAAAUGUGGAGAACUGAACUUAAGAAUGAGAAACUGAGAG